rnacentral:rRNA from 1 species
UACGUAGGGGGCAAGCGUUGUCCGGAAUCAUUGGGCGUAAAGGGCGCGUAGGCGGCCAUCUAAGUCAGACGUGAAAUCCCCCGGCUUAACCUGGGAACUGCGUCUGAUACUGGACGGCUUGAGUAUGGGAGAGGGAUGUAGAAUUCCAGGUGUAGCGGUGAAAUGCGUAGAUAUCUGGAGGAAUACCGGUGGCGAAGGCGGCAUCCUGGACCAUUACUGACGCUGAGGCGCGAAAGCUAGGGGAGCAAACGGG